GAUGGAUUCUUCUCUUUCUGGUCUUCUGUCUUCUCCGACUCGCCGCACUUCCGCUUGACGACCAGUCGCCUCUCCGGCCGCCCGCGCCUCUCCGGCCAGUCGCCUCCGCCUUCCUUCCCCGCCGCCGGCACCCAUCCUCUUGGUUCCCCCAGUAUCCGCCCGCUUCCUUCUCCCCUUCCCUUCUCUUCUGGAUUCGAUGUCCACGGAGACCAGCGGCUCAGCCGCCCCCGCCGCCGCCGAGGUGGGCUGGUACGUGCUCGGCCCGAAGCAGGAGAGUGUCGGCCCCUACGCGCUUGCCGAGCUUCAAGCACAUUUUGCAAACGGUUAUCUCAAUGAGAGCACAAUGCUCUGGGCAGAAGGGAGGAGCGAAUGGAUGCUGCUGUCGUCGAUCCCUGAGUUACACACUGCGGUUACAGCAAAGGAUCAACCCGAACAAGUUGCUCCAGAUGCUGAGGAUGAUUUUGAGAAAUUUCAGAAGGAGGUUAUAGAAGCCGAGGCAGAGGUUGAGGCCUUGAAAGGCCAGUGCUGAAGAUGGUGAUGUGAACCAGCUGGAUGAUGAGCGGCCAGCAACCCCACCGGAUGGAGAGGUUGAGGCCUUGAAAGGCCAGUGCUGAAGAUGGCGCCAUUGCUAGGAACACCUAUACUUAGCAGUGACGCUACGAAAUGUCAACAAGCAUUUCUGGCGCCGUUGCCGGGAAAGGCACAUGAUAAUCAAGACUAUGCAUUGCAAUUGUUUAUAAAGCUCGAGUAGGGUAGAACAACUCUCAAUGCAGGCUAACCUUGAUUGUCUUCUUUGUCUUUGGAUGAUGAAGACAGGUAGUGUAUGACUGGCUUCCACUUACUGCCAAAUUUCACAGAGGAUCCGGAGUCACUUGUGAGGAAAGCUCGAAUUCAUUUCAACUCUCCUCAACGUACUCGUUCGGAAGUCGAUCCAGCUUCCUUAGUACCAUCCACAUCAAACGCUAUGGCCCAGAAGACACUUCGUGAGUAUUCAGCUCCUUCUGCUACCCAGGUGCUGCAAGGCCCUACGGUGGAAGUUGGGAUCGAAAAUUUCGAGAUCAAGACGGGUUUAAUCACGAUGGUACAGGCUAGCCCAUUCUGUGGCAAGCCUAAUGAGGAUGCUAAUGCCCAUCUUCAACCGUUCCUGGAGCUCUGUAGCACUUUCACCAUCAGGGGUGCAAAUGAGGAUGCAGUUCGUCUUCGGCUGUUUCCAUUUUCUCUCCUUGGGAAAGCAAAGCAGUGGUUCUAUGCGAACGGUGAGCAAAUUAAUACAUGGGGCAAAUGUUCAGAAGCAUUCCUCAAGAAGUUCUUCCCGUUGGGUAAAACCAAUGCUCUUCGUGGGAGGAUUUCAAGUUUUCAGCAAGCAGCAGCCGAGUCCAUUCCAGAGGCUUGGGAGAGGCUUCAGGAGUACAUCCUGGCCUGUCCUCACUAGAAUCGGGAAGAACAGGGGAUUGAGGGAAUACCACAUGCGAAGGAUGAUACUGUGGAGGCGGUGGGGGCGGGAACCGUGGAUGAGCACCCAUGAGGCCAGAGCCAUCGCGGCCUGGAAUGGUCAACUUCGGCAACGCGGAUGUCUUGAGCGCACGGGCAACCUGUAGCUGCUCCUGCUGUACCGAACCCAGAGAUGUCAUAGCCAGAUCUACCUUGGUCUAGACUUGGUCUAGGCGGCUCGCCUGAUCAACCAGCUUGGUGUUCAUGUCGGUGAACUGCUCCUUCAGCAAGGACAAGUCCUCCAGCUUGGUCACGACCGUAGUGAGUUUGUCCUCGAAUAGCUUGCGGAUGCGUUCCUCCAUUUCAUCCAUGGCGGCGCAAAUCUGACGGGUAUGCGCGGCUUGGCGAUUUGGCGCCGUGGUGAAUCGGGUGCCCUGCCGAACGAAGAACAAGGAAAUCCCCAACUAAACCCUAAGUGGCGCGGCGAAAGUGAUGGUCGACGGCGCCGGAGCGGCUAACCGGCGAUUUGCGUGGCCGCCGGAAUCGGGUGGACUCGCGGCGGAGCAGAUCGAGUCGCCGGUGAGGCAGACCAGAUCAGGGGAUACGGCAGGAUGAGGACGGGGCAGAGGCGUGCCAAGGAAGGCUGAAUCUGAUACCAAUUGUAGUGUCUAGACUACGGGUACAACGAUCCAACACCAGGAUAUCGAGAUCAGAGGCAGACUGGGAAGAAUCAGAGGGGAUUCAGAGAGGGAAGAAGCACCGGAGAGGAGGAAGAACACAGAAGGGAGAGAGAGAUUCAGAUAGGAUAAUUUUCCUUCAUAACUUUCGAUGUCUAACCAGUCGCAAAACCGAGUACAUAUAGCAGCUAGAAUGGGCUACACCUGCCCGAUAACGGCCCAAGGCCCAAACUGAAAAUUACAACCCAAGGUGCUUAAUAUUAACUACUCUUGAGUCUCACUCCCGUCCGUGACAGUUGUUGUCAUUAGCAUGUUUGAGUUGAUCAAAAGCCGACUGUGCCUCAGCAGACCAGCUAAAAUGCUUGAGUUUCAGCAACUGAGUGAGUGGUUUAGCAAUCAGCCCAUAAUUUUCGAUGUCUAACCAGUCGCAAAACCGAGUACAUAUAGCAGCUAGAAUGGGCUACACCUGCCCGAUAACGGCCCAAGGCCCAAACUGAAAAUUCCAACCCAAGGUGCUUAAUAUUAACUACUCUUGAGUCUCACUCCCGUCCGUGACACAAAAUCCCACCCAAAUCUGACUCCCCCAUCUAUAGAGUUCGAGGAUGAGAGGAGAGUCUGUUCGUGGCUUGGCAAAACUGCAAGGAUCUGGGUCAUCUGGUACAAUACCAACUUUUGUUGAAUAUAUCCAGUAAUGUCCCUAUCUCAGAAUCAUUCAAUUCUUAUCAAUGAGUCUUCUAUCACAAAUUUGGAUUGAUGAGGAAUGAAUUUGCUUGUUAGGUCAGAUUCGCAAGGCCCUCAACCUUGCUCUUUUUCAGGGCAAUGUAAUGGUUUCUGAAAUUUCAGUUCAGUUUCCUUUAAUCUAUAUCCAAGAAUAAGUUAGCUACAAAUAACUUAGCGCAAAGGAAGAAAUAGAAACUCAGAAGUGAAUCAAACUUGUUGAAUCCAAUGUGUAUUGCAGUGACUAUGGUCUAGGCCUGACCAUUGUGGUUUGUAUUGUUUAAUUUGCAAUGUAGUUAGAUUCCAGUAAUCGUAGUGGGGGCAAAUUGGUCAUGACGGAUGAGUAGCAGUAGCAGGUUAGCAUUGAGCAGUCGUUCACAUGUAAGGUGAUUAGGUAUUUCUAACCCCAAAUGUUUCGCGCUUGUCACUGAGGUCCGUGAAUAUGAGCCCCAUGAGGCUGUGAUGCAUCUGCCAAUAGUCAUCCAUAGAAUGCUGCUCAGUCAUCCUCAACUUCAAAUCUUAGGUUGCUUGUCAUUAAUCUCCUUAGGUUGCUUGUCAUUAAUCUCCUACUUCAGUUGCCUCUCAUGUUCGUACCUGAUUUUUUUGCUAAACUUCUAUUGUGCUUUUUGCUUUAAUGCAAGGGCGGAAGGUCAGGUUCAUAUACCUGCCACCUGGGCAACAUCUAAAGAUCAGUUUUUUUUGCUCGUGUGAAAGGGUGGGUAUGGGUACAAUCCAUUUAGUUCUGAGCUUAAUUUUAAAUUGAGAUUCUGAGUAAGGGGCUUGUGAUUGUGCUCUAUCUAUGCAAAUAUAUGUAGAACCAAUUUUGAUCCUGGUAUAGGAUCAUUGGAGAAACAAAUAAUUUUUCUAUUGCAAAUGUUAUGAAUAAUUUCAACUAGUCAUACAAUUUUGCAGUUUCGAAGAGUUGUGUUCUUUCAGCUGAAUGUAAAUAAAAGGAUUACAUUUAGUACAUGCAUGUAAGCGCACUGAUGUUCUUUCUGCAUUUUCUUUGUGCAUAAUUCUUGAAAGGAGUAGAAGAAAGAAGUUAGCCAUAAGACUUGUGAGGCUGAGCAAUAAGAAAUUUCUAACUUUGAGUGCGGAUGAUGGCAGGCAAUGUGGUGAUCUGAUUGUGGUGCCCUGUGACAGGCUGGGUGAAGCAGAUUAUGCCUUUUUUCAAGUACCUGCUCAUUGUCUUCAUCAGACACCAUUUGCAAGGUCAUCCUUAUUCAUUUCCAUUGUCAAUAGUGAGCACAUUGAUAUGCACAUGACUGUCCUGGAUGCAUGUUUGGCUCGUGACCAUAGUAAACCUGAAAUGCUGAAUGUGUAAUAUAAUAGUUUGAUUUCUUUGUCAAGGUAAUACUCUGGAUUCCGAUAAGGUGCGUUUCUUGCUCUUCUUUCUUUCCGUGUCCUCUUCUUUCUGUUUCCUGCUUGGAAUUCUGGUUGUCAAAUUUGAGUUGUUGCUUGAUUGCUUUAGCAAUGUCAUGAGUUCGUGCUGGUUUGGGGAUGUAUGAAUAUCUAAAAGACCUAAGUUUUUCGUCCAGUUUAUGUUGGAUCUAGGAUGCUUUAUUACUUGAGGACUUAAUCUGGGUUGGCCACUUUUGUAGAAGCUCCUGGAGUGUAAUUUAGAUUAAUUAUUGUGCACCAAUAAAAUGCUUUCAACAUGUCGUCUAAAAAAAUCUUGAAAUCAAUUUCAACUAGAAAGGAUGUGUCCUAUAUGCUAUGUUCAUCCAAAUUUCUCAUUAUCUUAUUGCAGCUCACAAUUGAUAUUUUGUUUUCUCCGAAAUUCUGAAGACAAAAGGGGUUAUGUUGUUUGUAGUGGCGAAUAUGCAGUGAUUCUGUGAUUGAAAUGUCAGGAGACUCUCCUGCAAUUAGUAUUAAUGGAAUUUCACUUCCAUAGGAGAACAGGAGUCUCUUGCAAAUCAGAUUACUUGCUCUCCUUACAUCAUCAGAUGGAACAUCUAUGACUAGACACAUAUGAAUCACAAAGCUGGCCUUGUGGGCAAUGAAUGAUCUUUUGUAUAACAUUUCGCCCAACCAUCCUACCAGCACUCAUAUGUAACCUUUUGAACAUUAGUUGGCUGUAGCAAAGCAUGAAUGCCAUUUUUUUUGGUUGAAUUCUUAACACAUAACAGUGUGCUUGGGAAAAGGUGGUUAAAUAUCUAUUUUCAUGAAUUAGACCUUACUAUCAGUGAUUUAUAUGAAGGUAAUAUGUUCCUAUGAGAUGUGAAUAAUGGUUUCAUAUUUAAGAAUGUGCAACUUUUUAACAACUAUGGAUGCAUAAUUGCAUAUUAUACUGCUUUAAUUUGGGAAAGGGUUCCUCUGAAGUACUGCACUCUGCAGUUGAGUCACCGACAGGUGGGUCCGGACCCACGUGUCUACACAGCUGUAGAGGCAGCUGCCUCAGAGGAGUCUCGUUGUUAAUUUGGGACCAAUUAAACUGCAAAAAAAUUGAGUACAUAAGAACAUCGUCACUAUGCUCAGUAUACUAAGUAUGUCCUGUUAGCAGUUCUAAAGUUCAGAUACCAUUAUUACCACAUUAUAGAGCUCAUUUUGGGCCCAUUAAGUUUUAUAUAUGAUCUUGGGGACCCAAGUAUGUAUGUGAUAAAUAUCAUGUUGUCACUUUGUCUGUCAAGCAGGUUUCAUCACCUAUUCCAGAUGGGAGGCUGAGUUUGAGCAACAGCUUUAUAUAUUAAGAAUCUCCAUCGGGUCUAUCUGAGCUGCUCUGGAUAUUUAGCGUCGAGGAGAGGAGGAUUCCUACAUGUGCUCUCCAUCAGGUCUAAGCUCGAGCGUGGAGGAGAGAAGGAUUCCUACAUUUGCUCUCCAUCAGGUCUGUCUGGAAAGUUUGAGUUCUACGAGACCAAGGGCAUGGGUCAUGUCUUCUUGUCCAAGCACGGCAGCGACAACGCACUCAAUGAGCUCGCUGUCGUGGUCGACUUCGUCAGGCGCUGUUGACAUUGAUUUUCUUGUUCGGCACGGGGUGAGUGAUUUAGAACCAAAGAUACACACAGGCAUCAAUUUACGAUUUCGAUUUUGAUGGCUAGAUUGCGGACUCAAAAGGAAAAUGAAACUCUUGUAUGACAGAGUACUCCUGAUUCUGAAUUUCUGAUGUGCAUUCAGGAUUUGAGAUUGGCAUAGCACUGAAUUUCUAGAGUAGGCAAGAAACCUACUUUGUUUGAAGUUUGAAAUUUCCUUGUAACUGAAUUCGUGUGGAUAUGUUGUUAAGUUUAUCUGUUCUUAUGCACUCAGCACAUGCUUCAGAUGCAUGGUCCUCUAUAAGCUGAAUUGGUGAUGAAA